rnacentral:sRNA from 1 species
UUUUUUUCAUUUCUUCU